GGAAAUCUCCUGGGGAGAGACCCCCCCGGGCAGGCCACGUUGAGGGCCACCCAGACCUCGGCCCUGCAGCUGAGGCUGCUGCCAGCCAGGGACUAGGCCCUGGCCAGGCCCCCGAGGUGGCCCCCACGCGGACAGCCCCUGAACGCUUCGCCCCCCCUGUGGACCGCCCAGCCCCCACCUACAGCAACAUGGAGGAGGUCGAUUAGCAGGUCCCUGGCUGGUGGGGGGACGGUUUGGGAAUCCUCCAUAGAAGGCCAGCUCUUUGCCGCUUCUCCUUCUCUAACCCAGAGGACACUGGCUUCAUCAGUGGGGAGUUGGGGGGUGACAAGGGUGGAACCUCAGGUUGGGACCUCUUGUCAGCCCAAACCCCAAACCAGUGAGCCUGGGCUCUCCAGCCACCCUCAGUACUGUGGGAUUUGAUUCUCAGUUGUACCUUCAGUUCUUUCUGAUUCGCAUUAUAAACAUCAUAAUUUUAUUCUAAAA